CAUGAAUAUAUAUAAAUAAAGUAUUUUACAUUUGAUUGGAAACUCUUUUCUUUAAAUAUUUCAUUGUGACAGAAUUUCAAUAAUUGCAUUAAAAUGUUGGACCUUAAAGUCCUCACAGGUAUUUAAAAACACCAGGGGAAAAAAAAAGUAUAAUGAAGUAACACUCUAUUUCUUCUUUCCUUUCUGCCUUUCUUCCUCCAUUUUCUGAACAAUGAAAUAAAUACAACAUCUGCUGCAGAGCUACAGAACCACAGCAUGGCUGAGGUUGGAAGGCAUCUCUGAAGGUUGUCUUUUCAACCCCCUGCCCAAGCAUGGCCACCUAGAGCUGGCUGUCCAGGACUCUAUUUAGAUAUGUUUUCAAUAUCCCCAAGGAUGAAGACUCCACAACCUUCACGGUCAAUCUGUGCUGGGGCUCAGUCACCCUCACAGUAAGCUCUGAGGUUUAUAAAUAUACAGAUACUGUAUAUAUUGUCAGGAGAAAUUUACAUGGCUGAGAAUAGAUAAGUUUCAUUGCAGGAUUUUUUAAAAAUCUGCUUUCAUCUGUCCUUUAGCAGAAAGAAUAUCCCUGGGUUCUUUCUUCAGUGUGUAUAUUUUCUGUGACUCACAAAAUUUAGCUGCAAUUUUGCUGUGAAAAAAAAGCUGAACAUGACCACCUUCCUCUUGGUUUCUGAAGUCUCAUUUUUUUAGCUGAAUAGCCCCUUAUGGUGUUGGAAUUUGUGAAUUCAUAAGAUGUCUGCCUGUCUGCCUCUUUAGUGAGUAAAGGGGGGACAAGACUGCCUGAGAUGCUUUCUGUAGGCUCAGAACUGUUGCAACUGUAGGGAGACAGUGAUUAAAAUUACAAAGGUCUUCAGUCACUUGGUUCAGAGGACAAGGUGGUCUAACAGCAUGCAAGGAACCAUGCCGCUGACAACAAGAGAAAAGAGAAGGAUGCAGAGAAAUGAACCAGCAGGAAGUUCAGAACCAUGUUGGAAUAGCUAUUGAUCUCUCUUGAGACGAGAAGACAGCAUUUACUUAGGGUAGUGAAA
rnacentral:lncRNA from 1 species